rnacentral:rRNA from 1 species
GAGUACUACAAGCCACAGCUUAAAACUCAAAGGACUUGGUGGUGCUCUACACCCACCUAGAGGAGCCUGUUCUAUAAUCGAUACCCCUCGAUAAACCUCACCUCUUUUUGCUAAUUCAGCCUAUAUACCACCGCCCCCAGCUCACCUCCCAAGAGAAUAACAGUAAGCAAAAUAAUUUUAAAUAAAAAAGUCAGGUCAAGGUGUAGCACAUAAAAAGGAAAGAAAUGGGCUACAUUUUUUAUUUUAAAAAAUACGGAAUAUUUUAUGAAACAAAAUACAAAGGAGGAUUUAGAAGUAAAAAGAAAAGAGAGAGUUCUUUUUAAGCCGGCAAUAGAGUGCGC